rnacentral:rRNA from 1 species
AUUGAACGCUGGCGGCAGGCUUAACACAUGCAAGUCGGACGGUAACAGGGAGGAAGCUUGCUUUCUUUGCUGACGAGUGGCGGACGGGUGAGUAAUGCUUGGGAAUCUGUUUUAUGGAGGGGGAUAACUACGGGAAACUGUAGCUAAUACCGCGUAAUAUCGAGAGAUUAAAGUGUGGGACCGUAAGGCCACAUGCCAUAGAGUGAGCCCAAGUGGGGUUAGGUAGUUGGUGGGGUAAAGGCCUACCAAGCCGUCGAUCUCUAGCUGGUCUGAGAGGAUGAUCAGCCACACUGGGACUGAGACACGGCCCAGACUCCUACGGGAGGCAGCAGUGGGGAAUAUUGCACAAUGGGCGCAAGCCUGAUGCAGCCAUGCCGCGUGAAUGAAGAAGGCCUUCGGGUUGUAAAGUUCUUUCGGUGGUGAGGAAGGUUGUAAUGUUAAUAGCAUUAUAAUUUGACGUUAGCCACAGAAGAAGCACCGGCUAACUCCGUGCCAGCAGCCGCGGUAAUACGGAGGGUGCGAGCGUUAAUCGGAAUAACUGGGCGUAAAGGGCACGCAGGCGGAUACUUAAGUGAGGUGUGAAAGCCCUGGGCUUAACCUAGGAAUUGCAUUUCAUACUGGGUAUCUAGAGUAUUUUAGGGAAGGGUAGAAUUCCACGUGUAGCGGUGAAAUGCGUAGAGAUGUGGAGGAAUACCGAAGGCGAAGGCAGCCCCUUGGGGGAAUACUGACGCUCAUGUGCGAAAGCGUGGGGAGCAAACG